UUCCUACCCGCUUAGCAUAAAGUGGGUCUAGAAGCUAAUUUGUAGGUCACACUGAUUUGGUUGCCUUUGUAGGGCUGCUGAGGGGAGGGGGCUGUGGGCUGGGAGGCAGGUACCAUAUGCCACCUACCCCAUGAGUUUCCCUUCCCUCUGAAAACAGUGACAGCGCCAGCACCCUGCUCCUCCUCCGUGAAAUGCCCCGAGGUUCCUGGGUCAGUCCCAGCAGGGGGCUGCUGUCAGCCUGCGAUGAGGGAGGCUGUAAAUGGUCUCGUGCCAGCUCUCCCAGGGACUGGGACCGCAGAGACCGCUGCAGAUUUAUUGCAUGACGGCAUCGGGGCGGCACGGAGACAGCGCGGUCCCGCCGCCGGCCGGGCGAGAGGGGCCGGCUGCAGCCCCGCUGUCUGCGAGUGGCCGUAAACCACUCUGAAACCCCAAAACAAACGGCGGACCUGCACCCCGUGCCAAGCAU